rnacentral:rRNA from 1 species
GACAGAGGGUGCAAACGUUGUUCGGAAUCACUGGGCGUAAAGGGUGUGUAGGCUGUGCGUUAAGUCAGAUGUGAAAGCCCAGGGCUCAACCUUGGAACUGCAUCCGAUACUGGCGUGCUAGAGAAUUGGAGAGGAGUCUAGAAUUCACGGUGUAGCAGUGAAAUGCGUAGAUAUCGUGAGGAAUACCAAGUGCGAAGGCAGGACUCUGGACAUUUUCUGACGCUGAGACACGAAGGCUAGGGGAGCAAACGGG